UACGUAGGGCGCGAGCGUUGUCCGGAAUUAUUGGGCGUAAAGAGCUCGUAGGCGGCCUGUUGCGUCCGCUGUGAAAUCCCAGGGCUCAACCCUGGGCGUGCAGUGGAUACGGGCAGGCUGGAGGCAGGCAGGGGAGAACGGAAUUCCCGGUGUAGCGGUGAAAUGCGCAGAUACCGGGAGGAACACCGGUGGCGAAGGCGGCUUUCUGGCCUGUUCUUGACGCUGAGGCGCGAAAGCUAGGGUAGCAAACGGG
rnacentral:rRNA from 1 species